rnacentral:rRNA from 1 species
UUCGGGGCUUUCUGCAAGGUGCUGCAGUGGUUGUCGUCAGCUCGUGUCGUGAGAUGUUGGGUUAAGUCCCGCAACGAGCGCAACCCCUGUGGUUAGUUGCCAGCAAGUAGCGUUGGGCACUCUAGCCAGACUGCCGGUGAUAAAUCGGAGGAAGGUGGGGACGACGUCAAAUCAUCAUGCCCUUUAUGUCCUGGGCUACACACGUACUACAAUGGCCGUUACAACGGGAAGCGAAGGAGCAAUCCGGAGCAAAUCCCUUAAAGGCGGUCCCAGUUCAGAUUGUGGGCUGAAACUCGCCCACAUGAAGGCGGAAUUGCUAGUAAUUGCAGAUCAGCAUGCUGCAGUGAAUACGUUCCCGGGCCUU